rnacentral:rRNA from 1 species
CGUCUCUUGCCAAACACAUAUAAGAGAUAAUGCCUGCCCAGUGAUAACUUAAACGGCCGCGUUAGCGUGAGCGUGCUAAGGUAGCGUAAUAAACAGCUUUUUAAUUAAAGGCCAGUGAAAGGCAACACGGAAAAUUGCUAUAUCUUACAUGACCAAAAAAUUUUACUUUUAAGUGAAAAGGCUUAAAUAACAAAAAAAGACGAAAAGACCCCGCGGAGCUUUACUUUAAAACUUAAACAUUUAAACAAGUUACCGUUCAAAGUUUGGUUGGGGCAACCCUGGAACAAUGUAAUCUUCCAGUUUUCUAAGUAAUUUAUACAAAACCUAUUAUGGACCGAAAAGAAGCUACCCCGGGGAUAACAGCGUAAUCCAACUUGAAAGUACACAUCGAAAGUUGGGUUUGCGACCUCGAUGUUGGCUUAGGGUAAUCCACAAGGCGCAGCCGCUUUAAUGGGAUAGUCUGUUCGACUAUUAUAACCCUACA